rnacentral:lncRNA from 1 species
CAGAGAGGGACAGAGACGGAGAAGUUUGACGGUCUGGAAAGCAGAGACCAGCAGGGCUGACUGCUUGGGAGCACGAGGGACAGCUCUCCACUGACCGAAGGAGGAGAAUGCUAUUUAUUUCAGCACCAAGUAUCCGGACAGCGCCUCUCGGGAGGUCCGAGAAGAGAACCGCGGUCUGUUUCAGCACCGGGGCUCAGGACAGUUCCCAGAGGGCUCCGUUUCGGCUCCAGAACCCUGGACAGCUCCCCCAGCUUGGAAUGCACUCCCUCCACCUCCACCCAGAGCUCCCCACAACUGACCCUGCUUUCUUCUGCAAGCUCCAUUUCAUCAAGGGAAACGAUCCUUAUUGCCUCACCAUUUCCCACAUGAAGUCUGUAUUGACAUUCUCAUAGACCUGGGAUAUUGUGUCUGCAGCACAUAGUCCAAUUAUUUUCAUGUUAUCUACUGACA